rnacentral:rRNA from 1 species
AUUGAACGCUGGCGGCAUGCCUUACACAUGCAAGUCGAACGGCAGCACGGGUGCUUGCACCUGGUGGCGAGUGGCGAACGGGUGAGUAAUACAUCGGAACGUACCUUAUCGUGGGGGAUAACGCAGCGAAAGUUGCGCUAAUACCGCAUACGCCCUGAGGGGGAAAGCGGGGGACCGUAAGGCCUCGCGCGAUUAGAGCGGCCGAUGUCUGAUUAGCUUGUUGGUGAGGUAAAAGCUCACCAAGGCGAUGAUCAGUAGCUGGUCUGAGAGGACGAUCAGCCACACUGGGACUGAGACACGGCCCAGACUCCUACGGGAGGCAGCAGUGGGGAAUUUUGGACAAUGGGGGCAACCCUGAUCCAGCAAUGCCGCGUGAGUGAAGAAGGCCUUCGGGUUGUAAAGCUCUUUUGUCAGGGAAGAAACAGCAGCUCUAACACAGACUGCGAAUGACGGUACCUGAAGAAUAAGCACCGGCUAACUACGUGCCAGCAGCCGCGGUAAUACGUAGGGUGCGAGCGUUAAUCGGAAUUACUGGGCGUAAAGCGUGCGCAGGCGGUUAUACAAGACAGGCGUGAAAUCCCCGGGCUUAACCUGGGAAUGGCGUCUGUGACUGUAUAGCUAGAGUGUGUCAGAGGGGGGUGGAAUUCCACGUGUAGCAGUGAAAUGCGUAGAUAUGUGGAGGAACACCAAUGGCGAAGGCAG